GACAGAGGUUGCAAACGUUGUUCGGAAUUACUGGGCAUAAAGCGCACGUAGGCGGUCCGUUAAGUCAUGUGUGAAAUCCCCCGGCUCAACCGGGGAAUUGCGCCUGAUACUGGCGGGCUAGAGAUCGAUAGGGGUGAGUGGAACUCCAGGUGGAGCGGUGAAAUGCGUAGAUAUCUGGAGGAACACCGGUGGCGAAAGCGGCUCACUGGAUCGAAACUGACGCUGAGGUGCGAAAGCUAGGGUAGCAAACGGG
rnacentral:rRNA from 1 species